rnacentral:rRNA from 1 species
UACAAAGGGUGCAAGCGUUGUUCGGAUUUAUUGGGCGUAAAGCGCGCGUAGGCGGACCUGCAAGUCAGAUGUGAAAUCUCGGGGCUCAACCCCGAAACUGCGUCUGAAACUACAGGUCUAGAAUCUUGGAGGGGGAAGGGGAAUUUCGCAUGUAGGGGUAAAAUCCGUAGAUAUGCGAAGGAACACCAGAGGCGAAGGCGCCUUCCUGGACAAGUAUUGACGCUGAGGCGCGAAAGCGUGGGGAUCAAACAGG